UACGGAGGGGGCUAGCGUUGUUCGGAAUUACUGGGCGUAAAGCGCACGUAGGCGGGUUGUUAAGUCAGGGGUGAAAUCCCGGAGCUCAACUCCGGAACUGCCUUUGAUACUCCCGCGCUUGAGAACUGGAGGGGAGACCGGAAUUCACGGUGGAGCGGUGAAAUGCGCAGAUAUCAGGAGGAACACCGGUGGCGAAGGCGGGUCUCUGGGCCGAUACUGACGCUGAGGAGCGAAAGCGUGGGGAGCAAACAGG
rnacentral:rRNA from 1 species